rnacentral:rRNA from 1 species
UAUACGUUGCCUCGGCGGAUCAGCCCGCGCCCCGUAAAACGGGACGGCCCGCCCGAGGACCCCUAAACUCUGUUUUUAGUGGAACUUCUGAGUAAAACAAACAAAUAAAUCAAAACUUUCAACAACGGAUCUCUUGGUUCUGGCAUCGAUGAAGAACGCAGCAAAAUGCGAUAAGUAAUGUGAAUUGCAGAAUUCAGUGAAUCAUCGAAUCUUUGAACGCACAUUGCGCCCGCCAGUAUUCUGGCGGGCAUGCCUGUUCGAGCGUCAUUUCAACCCUCAAGCUCAGCUUGGUGUUGGGACUCGCGGUAACCCGCGUUCCCCAAAUCGAUUGGCGGUCACGUCGAGCUUCCAUAGCGUAGUAAUCAUACACCUCGUUACUGGUAAUCGUCGCGGCCACGCCGUAAAACCCCAACUUCUGAAUGUUGACCUCGGAUCAGGUAGGAAUACCCGCUGAACUUAAGCUAU